CUCCCUCCCUCGCGGCGCCCCCUGCUCCUCCCCAGCCUCCGCGGCCCCCUACCCAGGCGUGGGCAGGAUCCCUUCCCCCUCUGCUUGGCUGAGAUCCCCUUGGAAUUUCUCGGAAGAACGUUUACUGCGAAAGGAAGCAAAAUGCACAAAGACGCAGAGAGGGGGAGGUACCCGGCGCGGCGCCACGCGCAGUGGCUCCAGGCCGUUCUCCUCCCCUGAGCAUCCAUGAAGACCCCCACCAGAAGCCGCAGCCCCAGGGGCUUCUGUCGCCAAAUACUCCCACACUCGGAGGUAAAGGUACAAAUCCUGGCCAGAGCAUCCGAGCCUUGGACCCGUUUCUCGGCUUCCUUGGCCUUCCCGCCCUGCCCUCCAGCUCCCUAAAAGCUGUGCCUUUGCACGUGUCCCUGUGCCUGAAAUCCGCCUCCCCGGGGCACUGGGGAAGCCCCGAUCUGCCAUCGUGCCUUUGGUCCUGCUCCCUUUCAUUUGACCUGAAAAUGUUUACUGCAUGCUCCCUGCUGCCCUAGCCCUGCCCUGAGCCCUGGGAAAGGGCAUGAGGAGAGAGACCUGGUUUCUGCCCUCCUGACUCUCCCCUUGGACAAAUGGUGAUGCCUACUGCAGCAUAUCUUUGCAGGAUGUGACAGAGCUAACAUUUAUUGAGCAUGUACUAUGGAUUCCACCUGUUCUAGACACUUCAUAUUUAUUAUCUCCUUAUAGUCUCACCACAGCCCUGCUGUGCAGAUAGUAUCAUUUCCAUCUCACAGAUGAGGAGACUCACACGGAAAGGCGGCGCUCCCUGCUCGGGGUCACACAGUGACGCAGGUGACAGGUGACCCAGCUGAAGUGGGAACCCAAGCAGCUUGGGCUACAGGGACUGCACACCUCCGCUCCAUUGUGGCUCCAGAGGGGUGGAGGCAAGGACGAGAUGGACAAGAGACCACCACAGGAGCGUGCUUUGCCUCAGGGUCAGGGAGAGCUUCUCCCAGGACCUGAUACUUUAGCCGAGAACUGAAUGAGGAGUUGAGAUUCAUAAGGUGCAGAGGGCAAGAGCUAGAUCAAGGUUCAAACACAAUUCUUUUCAAAACAUACAGAGCUCGCAAGAAAGUAAAAGAAAUCUGAGUCCAUAAAGAAAGAAGUAAAUAGAAUAAUGGACUCCCAAAGUCUGCCCACUGAGCAGGAGGCAGAUGUGAAACUCACAGUGGUCCUGGGCAGACCUGGACCCCCACGGGGUCUGAGGUCCCGGAAGCAGAGCCUGAGGCAGGGAUUCCAGAGCAAGCCCUUUGGUUGGAGGUGGGGAUAGCAGCCCUGGGGAGUGGGGAAGUGGUCCAGGGUGGGGAAGGAGGCUGGCAAGCAUGUGGUACUCAGCAACCCCCCGCAGUGGGGAAAUGGAGCCUGACCCCAGAGAGGUACUCUGGGAAGUGGUGUAAACUGUGAGCCUCAGGUGAACUCACCCAAGGGAUGAGGGAACAGGUAUUUCACAGCGACACCCAAGAGUCAUUGAUUGAGGGCUGCCCCGAGGGAUGCUUUCUCCUGCACCCUCCACUUGGCACCCACACAGAGCCCUCCGGGGAGCCAGGGUGGUCCCAGGUCAGUAGCAUCCCUGCUUGCAAAAGCAAAACCAACGAUGAAUACUCUGGAGAAAGCAAGCCCCAACUUAGGGACUGAGGUUCCCACAGAUUUAACUGAAUCAAAUAUGAGUUCAAAAUGAAAAAUCAGCACAUGUCUAAAGAAAGCAAGCCUCCAAGUGAGACUCAGCUGACAGUGACGAGCAACAGAUUUAAAUCACCACAAACUUUCUAAAUGGAAAAUAUCAAAUAUAGGAUAUAAAAUUAACCUAUUUGUUAUGCUUAAGAUAUAUUAAAAUAAGGAACAAAGCACUAUGAAACCAAUCACCAUGCUUAUCAGAAAAAAAUAGAACCUCUAGAAAUGAAAAACUUUUCAUUGAAAUGAAAAGGUCAGCAGAAACCUUGAAAGAAUUACGGUAACUGAAAGAAGCCAGUCACAAGAAAACACAUUGUGUGGUUUUCUUUUUAUGAAAUGUCCGGAAUAAACAAUCCAAGAGAGACAGAAGGUAGCUUAGUGGUUGCCUUGUGCUAGAAGGGUGGGAUAGGGGAAUCAGUCCUCCUUAGGGACUGGUAAUAGGCACUACUAAUAAAUAAAGUGAUAAAAGCACUCAUUUAGGAGUGAUGAAAAUGUUCUAAAAAUAGUGAUUAUGGUCACACAACUCUAUGAAUAUACUACAGACCCCUGGCUUGUAUAUUUAAAAGGGUAAAUGCUAUGGUAUGUGAAUGAUAUCUCAAUAAAGGUGUUUAAAAAAAUACUCAGCAAACAGAUUACGCAGCAAAUUAAACACAACUGAAGAGGGAAUUCAUAAACUAGAAGAUAAAUCUUUAAAAAAUUACCAAGAAUGUAGCACAAAGGAUAAGGAAAUAGAAAAUAGGGAAAAUAAGAAACAUAAAAGAUGGUGUUUUCCUGAUGCCCACUUAAGUCUGAGCAAGAAAAGAAGAAAAGAAAAAACUAAAAUAAAAUAAAACAAAAAGAUGGUGUGCAGAGAGCUUAUGGAAGUCUGGUUGAAAUCUCAAAGGAAAGAGAGUCAAUCAUUGAAGAAGUUAUGCCUGAGAAUAUUUCAGAACUGAUAAAAAAUAAGUAUGCACAGAGAGGCACAACAUGGACUAAAUAGAAUAAAGAAAAAUAAAGUUUAGAUGACAGAGUGAAAUUGCAGAAGACCUUUAAGCCAGCCAAAAAGAAAAGGAAGAUCAGCUCCCAGGAAACAGCAAUAAGAUUGCCAGCAGAAUUCCAGGAGCCCCAGUGACAGCCAAAGGAGAGGAAAAUCGGAUCUGUAAAGGGCUCAGAGGGAAAUAACUGUCACUAAGAACUUGAUAUAUUUUCCAAAAAUAAGUGUAAAAUAGAAUUUUCAGAAAAUUAAAAGUUUAGAAAACAACUCAAUAGCAGGAAAACAAAUAGGCCAAUUAAAAAAUGAGCCAGAAGCAGAAUAAACCUUUCUCAAAAGAGGGCAUACAAUGCCAUCAGGUGUAUGGAAAAAUGUUCAGCAUUAUAAUCAUCAGGGAAAUGCAAAUUAAAAUCACAAGGAGAGAUCACCUCCUGCCUAUUAGAAUGCCUGCCAUCAAAAAGACAGAGAUAACAAUUUUUGGUGAGGAUGUGGAGAAGAGAACCGUUGUGCACUGUUGGUGGGAAUGUAAAUUAGUGCAGCCAUUAGGAAAAGCAGUAUGGAAGUUCCUGAAACAAUUGAACAUGGAGCUACCUUGCCACCCAGCACUUCCAGUUCUGGGUAUAUAGCCAGAUAAAUAGAAAUCAGUAUCUUGAAGAGAGGCCUGCAUGCCCAUAUCCAUUGCAGCAUUAUUCCUAACAGCCAAGACAUGGAAUCCACUUGUGUCCAUCAGCAGAUGAAUGGAAAAAAGAAAAAGUGACAGAGAGAAAGAGAGAUAGAUUAGAUAGAUAUAAGCCAGGCUCGGUGGCUCACACCUGUAAUCCCAGUACUUUGUGGGGCUGAGGCGGGGGGAUCACCUGAGGUCAGGAGUUCAAGAACAGCCUGGCCAACAUGGCGAAACCCUGUCUCUACAAAAAAUACAAAAAUUAGCCAGGUGUGGUGGCACGUGCACCUGUAAUCCCAGCUACUAGGGAGGCUAAGGUAGAAGAAUCACUUGAACCCGGGAGGCAGAGGUUGCAGUGAGCCAAGAUCACGCCACUGCACUUCAGCCUGGGCGACAGAGUGAGACUGUCUCAAAAAUAAAUAAAUAAAUAAAUAAUUUAAAAAUAAAAAUAUUAGAUAGAUGUAGAUCUAUAAAGUGUUAAAAUAAAGAUUAUGAAACUGAUGGGAUGCACUCUUUGUGGCAAUGAUAUUCCAAAUUAUAAAUAAGACCUAAGGCUGUGGCAGGCAAGGAUUAAGUCACACACCCCUAAACUUAAAGAAUAAACUAUGUUCUAACCAUAAGGAUUUUUCUUUUUCUCUAGCAGCUAAACAAACACUGGC
rnacentral:lncRNA from 10 species